UGGGCGUAAGCGCGCGCAGGCGGUGAUGUAAGUCUGAGGUGAAAACCCGAAGCUCAACUUCGGGACUGCCUUGGAUACUGCGUCACUUGAGGAUAGGAGAGGCAAGGGGAAUUCCACGUGUAGCGGUGAAAUGCGUAGAGAUGUGGAGGAACACCUGUGGCGAAGGCGCCUUGCUGGCCUAUUUCUGACGCUGAGGCGCGAAAGCGUGGGGAGCAAACAGGAUUAGAUACCCUGGUAGUCCACGCUGUAAACGAUGAGUGCUAGGUGUAGGUGGGCUCAUACCCAUCUGUGCCGAAGCUAACGCAUUAAGCACUCCGCCUGGGGAGUACGGUCGCAAGACUGAAACUCAAAGGAAUUGACGGGGGCCCGCACAAGCAGUGGAGCAUGUGGUUUAAUUCGAAGCAACGCGAAGAACCUUACCAGGACUUGACAUCCCAUAGACCAGUCUAGAGAUAGACUUUCCCUUCGGGGCUGUGGUGACAGGUGGUGCAUGGUUGUCGUCAGCUCGUGUCGUGAGAUGUUGGGUUAAGUCCCGCAACGAGCGCAACCCUUACUUUGUGUUGCCAGCAUUCAGUUGGGCACUCACAAGGGACUGCCGCCGAUAAGGCGGAGGAAGGUGGGGAUGACGUCAAAUCAUCAUGCCCCUUAUGUCCUGGGCUACACACGUGCUACAAUGGGCGGUACAACGGGAUGCGAAGCCGCGAGGUGGAGCCAAACCCUGAAAACCGUUCGUAGUUCGGAUUGUANGCUGCAACUCGCCUACAUGAAGCCGGAAUUGCUAGUAAUCGCGGAUCAGCAUGCCGCGGUGAAUCCGUUCCCGGGCCUUGUACACACCGCCCGUCACACCACGAGAAUGGGCAACACCCGAAGU
rnacentral:rRNA from 1 species